GGUUAAGCGACUAAGCGUACACGGUGGAUGCCCUGGCAGUCAGAGGCGAUGAAGGGCGUGCUAAUCUGCGAUAAGCGCCGGUAAGGUGAUAUGAACCGUUAUAACCGGCGAUACCCGAAUGGGGAAACCCAGUGUGAUUCGUCACACUAUCAUUAACUGAAUCCAUAGGUUAAUGAGGCGAACCGGGGGAACUGAAACAUCUAAGUACCCCGAGGAAAAGAAAUCAACCGAGAUUCCCCCAGUAGCGGCGAGCGAACGGGGAGGAGCCCAGAGCCUGAAUCAGCAUGUGUGUUAGUGGAAGCGUCUGGAAAGGCGCGCGAUACAGGGUGACAGCCCCGUACACAAAAGCGCAUGUGCUGUGAGCUCGAUGAGUAGGGCGGGACACGUGGUAUCCUGUCUGAAUAUGGGGGGACCAUCCUCCAAGGCUAAAUACUCCUGACUGACCGAUAGUGAACCAGUACCGUGAGGGAAAGGCGAAAAGAACCCCGGCGAGGGGAGUGAAAAAGAACCUGAAACCGUGUACGUACAAGCAGUGGGAGCCCCACCAC
rnacentral:rRNA from 1 species